UCUCGGCUUUUCCCGCGUAGUUCAACCCAGGUAAGGUUCUUCGCGUUGCAUCGAAUUAAGCCACAUGCUCCGCCGCUUGUGCGGGCCCCCGUCAAUUCCUUUGAGUUUUAGCCUUGCGGCCGUACUCCCCAGGCGGGGCACUUAAUGCGUUAGCUACGGCACAGAUCCCGUUGGUUGAGACCCACACCUAGUGCCCAACGUUUACGGCGUGGACUAC
rnacentral:misc_RNA from 1 species